UACGGGGGGGGCAAGCGUUGUUCGGAAUUACUGGGCGUAAAGGGCUCGUAGGUGGCCAACUAAGUCAGACGUGAAAUCCCUCGGCUUAACCGGGGAACUGCGUCUGAUACUGGAUGGCUUGAGUUCGGGAGAGGUGAGUGGAACUGCGAGUGUAGAGGUGAAAUUCGUAGAUAUUCGCAAGAACACCAGUGGCGAAGGCGGCUCACUGGCCCGAUACUGACGCUGAGGUGCGAAAGCGUGGGGAGCGAACAGG
rnacentral:rRNA from 1 species